rnacentral:lncRNA from 1 species
UUUUCUUUAAUCUGUUCAUCAUGCCUCCCCUAUCUUCUCUUCUCGCCUCCUGAAAGCUCAGAGGGAAGGGACCUUCGGAUGUCUCCUUCAAUGUUUUUUUAAAAAGUAGAUGAGUAAUAGAGCUUGAGAUAUAUUCCUGUGUUAGUUGAACUGCUUUGUUUGUCUACAGAUGGCAGUCUAAUCCACAUCUGAGGAGUGUCACCACCGAUCUCUGCUCACCUCUGUGUCCACAACAUGCUAUACGCUUUACCGUUGUGGCUCAGCUCCGACACUCACUCCGUUCUGUAACGUUAUACAAUGACUGCUAAGGAAGUGUGAUCCUGCCUAUCAUUGGACAUAUUGCACAGCCAUCCGUCAUGGAGGAGAGGAGAGGAGGAGCGGACGGGCGGUUGGGCCUGACAGAUGGGCUUAGUGAGUGAAUCAU